GUUCCCACUCUCGUGAUGAUGAGGUGACCGGACAAAAAAUCGGCUUUCGCCAAGGAUGAUGUAUCAGGGGGGACCCAUUUCACCGUGACGCCAGUUUCCAGAGGACCGCCGGUGGAGCAGGACAGGUUCAGGUUCUCCGUUAGUUGGAAGCGUGGAUCCUGACUGCGCCACUCAGAAACAUAAUGCGACUUGCAGCCAGAAGAAACCAGCGUUACCCAUCUUCCAUCAACUCUAAAUAGCUUCCCUUGGCCUACUGAAAGAAAGUAUCCCCACAGCAUGAUGCUGUCACCACUAUGUUUCUCAAUGGAGAUGGUAUUGUCAAGGUGAUGUAUACAGCUAUGUUAUGUUUUGUGCUCAAAAUACGACAUCUUAGACUCAUUUAAAUGAGUCUAGACUAGAGCAUGUUCUUCCACAUGUUUGCUGUGUCCCUAAACUACAAACAGAUUACGCUUCCAUUAAUUGGUUAGGAUAGGUCUAUAGACUAUGCAAAACAUUUUCAUUCUAAUUUUUCUUUUGCACAAAAUCAUUUUUACAUAACGAGACUUUAGUGUAGUCAGUUCUGAAUAUCUUGGGUACCUUUCAGAAUGAGUUGUUUUAAGGUCUCUUGUCUCUUUAAAUCCAAAUAAACUGCUGGUGGCCACGCGCCCAACUCACCUUCGCCUAGAAAUUGGCUGCAAACUGCAACUCUAUGCGCAAUUAUACAACCGUCUUUGAACAUUAUACAAACAUCUUUUCUGAAUGAGUAAUUACACGUUAUAUUAGAGAAGAUGGAGAGCAAUGCGUCUGCAGAGCAAGUAAUUCUGACCGCCAGUCUCAUUUACUCACUUCCUGGUCCGUCUCUGACGCGAGGUCCGGGUGGAGGAUCCCUCCCACCCUCGCUCUCUGCAGCCGAGCGCCCGGCUUCGGACACCUCCAUGGAGUCCAGGUCGUCUAGAAACCUAAAGGCUUCAGAUGGGUUGGGCCCAGAGCGACAGUUCCUCUAUGAAAGAAAAGCUUACCAGCACCAUCAGGAGUGAUUGUGCCCAGUUUGACAGCCAGCGGGUAUCCGGUCUCCUGGAAAUGGAGGAGGGCGUGGUUGUUGCCCCCGGAGCCGUCGAAGUACCUACGACC